rfam:Asian citrus Psyllid, Diaphorina citri - Florida Strain, whole genome shotgun sequence.
CAGUGCGGUUAUAACACGUUAAAUGUGCCAGUUCCUCAUGGAUCACUGAAGUUAAGCAAUGUUGCACGUGGUUAGUACCUGGAUGGUGACCAUCUGGGGAAUCGCGUGCUGCUGGGU